UGGUAGAAAACGUCGUCCGUGUUUUUAUAAAAUAAUGAAAUCGUGAAAUUAUACAUUUUCCCAGGUUUUUUUCCCGCUUUAAUGCUUUUAUUUAAAAAAUGGUGUCGAAAAUCAGAAAAUGACCUCUCUAAAGUGCCGUUUAGACAACUUGAGCUUUCAGGAAAUUUUCAAACGUAAAAAUCGGAGCAAGUUUACUAGAAAAAAACUUGUUCACAGGCUAGAAGAAAAAGGAAAGAAGAAAAACAUAAACAUCUAA